GCCCGCUUAGCUCAGUUGGCAGAGCGGCACCCUCGUAAGGUGAAGGUCAUUAGUUCGAUUCUGAUAGUGGGCA